rnacentral:rRNA from 1 species
GAAAGACCCCGUGAACCUUUACUAUAGCUUAGUAUUGGCUUUGGAUAAGUAAUGUGUAGGAUAGGUGGGAGACUAUGAAGUGGCGUCGCUAGGCGUUGUGGAGUCGUCCUUGAAAUACCACCCUUUGCUUGUCUAGAGUCUAACUCAGAAAUGAGAACAGUGCUUGGUGGGUAGUUUGACUGGGGUGGUCGCCUCCAAAAGAGUAACGGAGGCUUCUAAAGGUACCCUCAAUACGGUUGGCAAUCGUGUGUAGAGUGCAAUGGCACAAGGGUGCUUGACUGAGAGGCAUACAGGCCGAACAGGUUGGAAACAAGAGCAUAGUGAUCCGGUGGUUCCGCAUGGAAGGGCCAUCGCUCAAAGGAUAAAAGGUACGCCGGGGAUAACAGGCUGAUGAUUCCCAAGAGCUCAUAUCGACGGAAUCGUUUGGCACCUCGAUGUCGGCUC